AUUUGAAAUUCAAAUGACUGAUUAAGAAUAUGACACUGAUCAUGUUGUCUUGAACAUUGAUAAAAUUCAGCUAACUUCAUGGAAAGCUCGUUCUAACGCGAUGAUCGCAGGUUGUUCAAGGUGGAACAAGAUGGUUCCCUUGGUUGUUCACUGUUCUACACCAAAAACUUGGACAUGGAAAACCUGUUACAUAUGAUUGAAGUCAAGAACGAACUCGUUCCACUAACCCAUUCCUAUUUUAAAGAAGGAUUAAAUCCUACACAAUUCUCAGUUUCAGCACUUGGCUUCAUCCUUUUGAUAACUUGCAUAUAAUUUAACUAAUUUAAACUGCUUAAAUUUGUUAGAUGCUCCUGUUUCUGUUGGUGAUGGCUCUCCUUCUAGUGGAGAUGAAAGCACAUCCUGUUUCUGGUUCUGGUGGGAGGGCAAAAUAUCCUUUUUCGGACUUAGUAUGGGGGUGCUGCUUCUCAGGCCUCAGUUGAUCUUUUCAGGGUUUAGCUAUUGAGAUAUGCUCUCUCUGUAUACAUAUGAUUUUGUGCCUUAGAUGGUUCUGCGGCCAAAGUGGAAGUGCAGAUAAUCAUUCAGUUUUUUUUUAUUGGCGGUUUCCCUUCACAAGUGAGUAUUAUUCCCUCCAUCAAUUAUAAACAUUAUGCAUAACAUCGUGCUUGUUUUUCAUGAUUUAUUUUGUUGACAUGUCUAUUCUUAUGUUAAAGUCCUUCCUCCGAUGCCAACAACGAAAAUGCUAUUGCUUUUGACUGGCUAAGUCAAUAUCAUGCUUUUAGUUUAUGGUGAAUUGCAGCGGAAGGGGGUUCACUGUGUCUUUUUUACAGGCUUUGGAUUUUAAGAUAAGCUUCAACCCAUUUAUAAAUUUGACUAUACUUUGGGUGGUAAUUCUUUGCAAGCCUUCAUGGACUUGAUUUGCAAAUGGGAGUUACAGAACAGUUUAGUUGCUAAAGCUGCAGGUUUCAUUUUUCAAAUUUUGACAGGGGAAACAUGCUGUUUGCUUAUUUUAAGUUUGUGGAUUGCAGAAUUUGCGGCAUCCUUGGGGUCUGUUAUAAAUGAAAUUGGCGACGACAAGGUCUUGAAUGUUGUCCAGGCAUAUUUUGCUUCUUCACUUAGAAGUUUGGAUGUAAUAUGUGCUCAUUUCGACAUUUAAGCUGUGAACCAUCUCAGUUUUAUUUGUCCUCGAAGAUGUAGUAGGAUCCUCUAAUGGCCAGUGAUAAAGCCUCGAUGACCUCUGGUCCUUAAUUAAUGAAGGUGAUGCAAUGGUUUAUGGAAGGCCUUAUCCCACGUCUGAUUCUGCAGGUAAAUGCCAUUGGUAUAGAGAAAGUUUUAAACUGUUAGGACUGUAUCAGAGACUUCGCAUUCUUGUUGGAUAUCACAAGUUAUCGCUACAUGGAAGUUCAAUGAAGAUUAAGUAUUUCUAUUCAUAACAGAAUAAAUUGUGUAGCCUUUGCAAAAUGAAUCGUGUAUUCUAAUAGGGAUAUUAGACAACAAUAGCUUUGUCAGUAAUUGCUGCCAUUUCUCCUCUCUAAUGAAACGCCUUGUGAGUGUUUUUCCUGCUUU